CCUGCGGAAGGAUCAUUACCGAAUCGUCAAACACGGGUUGUUGCUGGCCUCCAAACGGGGGCACGUGCACGCUCUGUUUACACAUCCACUCACACCUGUGCACCCUCUGUAGUCCUAUGGUUCGGAAGACCCCGUCUUCCUUCUGUAGCUCUACGUCUUUACACACACACUGUAGCGAUGUCUCAUGGAAUGUUUUUAUGCGUUUAACGCGAUACAAUACAACUUUCAGCAACGGAUCUCUUGGCUCUCGCAUCGAUGAAGAACGCAGCGAAAUGCGAUAAGUAAUGUGAAUUGCAGAAUUCAGUGAAUCAUCGAAUCUUUGAACGCACCUUGCGCCCCUUGGUUAUUCCUUGGAGCAUGCCUGUUUGAGUAUCAUGAACACCUCAACUCUCAUGGUCUUCCAUGAUGAGCUUGGACUUUGGGGGUUUGCUGGCCCUGCGGCCGGCUCCUCUCAAAUGAAUCAGCUUGCCAGUGUUUGGUGGCAUCACGGGUGUGAUAACUAUCUACGCUCGCGGUCGUCUGCCAGGUAACCCUCAGCGAUGAGGGUUCAUUGGAGCUCAUAAACGUCUCUCCUCGGCGAGGACAACUUUUGAACGUU
rnacentral:rRNA from 1 species